rnacentral:rRNA from 1 species
AGCAGCCGCGGUAAUUCCAGCUCCAAUAGCGUAUAUUAAAGUUGUUGCAGUUAAAAAGCUCGUAGUUGAAUUUCGGGAUCAAUACGUCGGUCGUGCUUCGGUACGUACUGGCGUAAUUGAUUUCUCCCUUCUGACGAACCAUGAUGUCAUUAACUUGGUGUCAUGGGAAAUCAGGACUGUUACUUUGAAAAAAUUAGAGUGUUUAAAGCAGGCUCACGCUUGAAUACAUUAGCAUGGAAUAAUGAAAUAGGACGUUCGAUCCUAUUUUGUUGGUUUUUAGGAUCAACGUAAUGAUUAAUAGGGAUAGUUGGGGGCAUUAGUAUUCAAUUGUCAGAGGUGAAAUUCUUGGAUUUAUUGAAGACUAACUACUGCGAAAGCAUUUGCCAAGGAUGUUUUCAUUAAUCAAGAACGAAAGUUAGGGGAUCGAAGACGAUCAGAUACCGUCGUAGUCUCAACCAUAAACUAUGCCGACUAGGGAUCGGAUGAUGUUAAUUUUUUAGUGA